rnacentral:rRNA from 1 species
UUGGAGGGCAAGUCUGGUGCCAGCAGCCGCGGUAAUUCCAGCUCCAAUAGCGUAUAUUAAAGUUGUUGCAGUUAAAAAGCUCGUAGUUGAAUUUCGAGAUCAAUUUGUUGGUCGUGCCUCGGUACGUACUGGCAAUUUCGAUUUCUCCCUUCUGAAGAACCAUGAUGUCAUUAAUUUGGUGUCAUGGGGAAUCAGGACUGUUACUUUGAAAAAAUUAGAGUGUUUAAAGCAGGC